rnacentral:rRNA from 1 species
CGGCCGUAGCGCGGUGGUCCCACCUGACCCCAUGCCGAACUCAGAAGUGAAACGCCGUAGCGCCGAUGGUAGUGUGGGGUCUCCCCAUGCGAGAGUAGGGAACUGCCA